UAUUUAUUGCUAUAAUCCUUACCUGUUCCUCCUUUGGGAGGGCAGAUCGGAACAUGAUGAUUGGAGUUCGCAUGAUGUGUGAUUAGCGUCUCUGCGUGGCCGGGACUUGCAAUAAUAAUGCCACUCAAU